rnacentral:rRNA from 1 species
UACCUGGUUGAUGCCUGCCAGUAGUCAUAUGCUUGUGCUCAAAGAUUAAGCCAUGCAUGUCUCAGUAUAAGCUUCUAUAUGGCGAAACUGCGAAUGGCUCAUUAAAACAGUUAUAGUUUAUUUGGUGGUCAACUUCUACAUGGAUAACCGUGGUAAUUCUAGAGCUAAUACAUGCGCCCAAACCCAACUUCUUGGAAGGGUUGUGUUUAUUAGAUACAGAACCAACCCAGGCUCCGCCUGGCCUUGAGGUGAUUCAUAAUAACCGAACGAAUCGCAUGGCUCCGCCGGCGAUAGACCAUUCAAGUUUCUGACCUAUCAGCUAUCGUCGGUAGGGUAUUGGCCUACCGUGGCAAUGACGGGUAACGGAGAAUUAGGGUUCGAUUCCGGAGAGGGAGCCUGAGAAACGGCUACCACAUCUAAGGAAGGCAGCAGGCGCGCAAAUUACCCAAUCCUGACGCAGGGAGGUAGUGACAAGAAAUAACAGUACAGGGCAUAUCUGUCUUGUAAUUGGAAUGAGUAAACUUUAAAUCACUUUGCGAGUAUCAAUUGGAGGGCAAGUCUGGUGCCAGCAGCCGCGGUAAUUCCAGCUCCAAUAGC